rnacentral:piRNA from 1 species
UGAGAAUGCCGAAGCUGUUCUUGCUGCAGCGU